rnacentral:rRNA from 1 species
UACGUAGGUGGCAAGCGUUAUCCGGAUUUAUUGGGCGUAAAGAGAACGCAGGCGGUCUUUUAAGUCUGAUGUGAAAGCCUUCGGCUUAACCGGAGUAGUGCAUUGGAAACUGGGAGACUUGAGUGCAGAAGAGGAGAGUGGAACUCCAUGUGUAGCGGUGAAAUCCGUAGAUAUAUGGAAGAACACCAGUGGCGAAAGCGGCUCUCUGGUCUGUAACUGACGCUGAGGUUCGAAAGCGUGGGUAGCAAACAGG